CCCUAGGUGCAGUUAUCAUAUGAUUCAGUUCUUCUAUCAUGAGUCCCAACUUAAUGGAGAUCAUGAAAAACUUGUCAGACUUCAUCAUCAGUCAUAUACUAAAUUGGCUUGACUUGAGUUCAUUUGUGAAUCCUGUGGAAACUCCUUUCUAGUAUUCACCCUUGCUUUGGCCAAAAACUUUUUGAACUCAGUCUCGCAAAUCGCAUAGGACUUCUCCUUUCCUACCAA
rnacentral:lncRNA from 1 species